GGGCGUGUAGCUCAGUUGGUAGAGCAGCUGACUCUUAAUCAGCGGGCCGAGGGUUCGAAACCUUCCACGCCCACCA
rnacentral:tRNA from 1 species